rnacentral:rRNA from 1 species
GUUGUAUGGUUAAGUGACUAAGCGUACACGGUGGAUGCCUUGGCAGUCAGAGGCGAUGAAAGACGUAGUAACUUGCGAUAAGCCCAGAUUAGGUAGUAACAACCAUUUGAGUCUGGGAUUUCUGAAUGGGGAAACCCACGUGCAUAAGCACGUAUCCUUACCUGAAUACAUAGGGUAAGGAGGCGAACCGGGGGAACUGAAACAUCUAAGUACCCCGAGGAAAAGAAAUCAACCGAGAUUCCGAAAGUAGCGGCGAGCGAAAUUGGACUAGCCCUUAAGCUUUACACGCGUUAGACGAACGGUCUGGAAAGUCCGACGAUACAGGGUGAUAGUCCCGUAGUUGACGACGUGUGUUCAGUGAAAUCGAGUAGGGCGGGACACGUGAUAUCCUGUCUGAAUAUGGGGGGACCAUCCUCCAAGGCUAAAUACUACUGACUGACCGAUAGUGAACCAGUACCGUGAGGGAAAGGCGAAAAGAACCCCUGUGAGGGGAGUGAAAUAGAACCUGAAACCGUGUACGUACAAGCAGUAGGAGCAGGCUUUGUCCUGUGACUGCGUACCUUUUGUAUAAUGGGUCAGCGACUUAUAUUCAGUGGCAAGGUUAACCAUCUAGGGGAGCCGUAGGGAAACCGAGUCUUAACUGGGCGUUCAGUCUCUGGAUAUAGACCCGAAACCAGGUGAUCUAGCCAUGGGCAGGUUGAAGGUUGAGUAACAUCAACUGGAGGACCGAACCGACUAAUGUUGAAAAAUUAGCGGAUGACUUGUGGCUAGGGGUGAAAGGCCAAUCAAACCUGGAGAUAGCUGGUUCUCCCCGAAAGCUAUUUAGGUAGCGCCUCGGACGAAUACUACUGGGGGUAGAGCACUGUUAAGGCUAGGGGGUCAUCCCGACUUACCAACCCUUUGCAAACUCCGAAUACCAGUAAGUACUAUCCGGGAGACACACGGCGGGUGCUAACGUCCGUCGUGGAGAGGGAAACAACCCAGACCGCCAGCUAAGGUCCCAAAUUACUACUAAGUGGGAAACGAUGUGGGAAGGCUCAGACAGCCAGGAUGUUGGCUUAGAAGCAGCCAUCAUUUAAAGAAAGCGUAAUAGCUCACUGGUCGAGUCGGCCUGCGCGGAAGAUGUAACGGGGCUAAGUAGUAAACCGAAGCUGCGGCAAUAUACUUUUGUAUAUUGGGUAGGGGAGCGUUCUGUAAGCGGUUGAAGGUGUGUGGUAACGCAUGCUGGACGUAUCAGAAGUGCGAAUGCUGACAUGAGUAACGAUAAAGGGGGUGAAAAACCUCCUCGCCGGAAGACCAAGGGUUCCUGUCCAACGUUAAUCGGGGCAGGGUAAGUCGACCCCUAAGGCGAGGCCGAAAGGCGUAGUCGAUGGGAAACGGGUUAAUAUUCCCGUACUUCUUACAAUUGCGAUGGGGGGACGGAGAAGGCUAGGUGGGCCUGGCGACGGUUGUCCAGGUUCAAGUGCGUAGGCUUAAGAGUUAGGUAAAUCCGGCUCUUCUUAAGGCUGAGACACGACGUCGAGCACCUACGGGUGUGAAGUCAUUGAUGCCAUGCUUCCAGGAAAAGCCUCUAAGCUUCAGAUUGUAAGGAAUCGUACCCCAAACCGACACAGGUGGUCGGGUAGAGAAUACCAAGGCGCUUGAGAGAACUCGGGUGAAGGAACUAGGCAAAAUGGUACCGUAACUUCGGGAGAAGGUACGCUCUUGAUGGUGAAGUCCCUUGCGGAUGGAGCUGACGAGAGUCGCAGAUACCAGGUGGCUGCAACUGUUUAUUAAAAACACAGCACUGUGCAAAAUCGUAAGAUGACGUAUACGGUGUGACGCCUGCCCGGUGCCGGAAGGUUAAUUGAUGGGGUUAGACUUCGGUCGAAGCUCUUGAUCGAAGCCCCGGUAAACGGCGGCCGUAACUAUAACGGUCCUAAGGUAGCGAAAUUCCUUGUCGGGUAAGUUCCGACCUGCACGAAUGGCGUAAUGAUGGCCACGCUGUCUCCACCCGAGACUCAGUGAAAUUGAAAUCGCUGUGAAGAUGCAGUGUACCCGCGGCUAGACGGAAAGACCCCGUGAACCUUUACUACAGCUUGGCACUGAACAUUGACCCUACAUGUGUAGGAUAGGUGGGAGGCUUUGAAGCACGUACGCCAGUAUGUGUGGAGCCGUCCUUGAAAUACCACCCUUGUAGUGUUGAUGUUCUAACGUCGACCCCUAAUCGGGGUUGCGGACAGUGCCUGGUGGGUAGUUUGACUGGGGCGGUCUCCUCCCAAAGAGUAACGGAGGAGCACGAAGGUGGGCUAAUCACGGUUGGACAUCGUGAGGUUAGUGCAAUGGCAUAAGCCCGCUUGACUGCGAGAAUGACAAUUCGAGCAGGUGCGAAAGCAGGUCAUAGUGAUCCGGUGGUUCUGAAUGGAAGGGCCAUCGCUCAACGGAUAAAAGGUACUCCGGGGAUAACAGGCUGAUACCGCCCAAGAGUUCAUAUCGACGGCGGUGUUUGGCACCUCGAUGUCGGCUCAUCACAUCCUGGGGCUGAAGUCGGUCCCAAGGGUAUGGCUGUUCGCCAUUUAAAGUGGUACGCGAGCUGGGUUUAGAACGUCGUGAGACAGUUCGGUCCCUAUCUGCCGUGGGCGUUGGAAGAUUGAAGGGGGCUGCUCCUAGUACGAGAGGACCGGAGUGGACGAACCUCUGGUGUUCGGGUUGUGUCGCCAGACGCAUUGCCCGGUAGCUAAGUUCGGAAUCGAUAACCGCUGAAAGCAUCUAAGCGGGAAGCGAGCCCUGAGAUGAGUCUUCCCUGAUACUUUAAGUAUCCUAAAGGGUUGUCGGAGACUACGACGUUGAUAGGUCAGGUGUGUAAGUGCUGUGAGGCAUUGAGCUAACUGAUACUAAUUGCCCGUGAGGCUUAACCAUACAACACCCAAGGGGUUU